CAAACGUAUCUCCCUCUAUGAGCCAGUCCAAGCAUUAAGAUCUUCUGGGGAGGCCCUGCUCUUGGUUCCACCCCCUUCAUAGGCAUGAUUGCUGCAGAUGAGAGACAGGACCUUCUCUGUAAUGGCCCCUCAACUUUGGAACUCCCUCCCCAGUGACAUCAGAUCGGCCUCCUCCCUCCUGGUCUUUUAGAAAAAUGUGAAAUCUUGGCUUUGGAAGCAGGCAUUUGCCAAGACAUGGGAACCCACAUGAGAACCGGGAUGUGACAAGAUGAGAUGGAUGGAGAUCACUUCCUGCCUUCCAUUCAUCGCUCCAGUUUAUUUUUAGUUAAAUUUUUCAAAGAUCAGCUUCUUCCUCUAGCGGGAGGCAUCUGUCAUGUGGAAUUGGUGAGGGGGUUCCUCCAACACACUUUGCCUCUCUUCUGCAUUUGCCAUCCUAUUAGCUUCCAGACCAGUGCAUCCCCUUGUCUGCUUCAUAUUUUAUGUUUUAUUUGUCAGGCCUGGUUAGCUCUUUUCUUUUAUCCCUUUUCUCCUUCGCUCUGCCAUCCUCAAUAUUGAACUGUCAACUUCAAAUAUUAAAAUUUAACCAAGGUGC